UGGGGAAUAUUUCACAAUGGGCGCAAGCCCGAUGCAGCCAUGCCGCGUGUAUGAAGAAGGCCUUUGGGUUGUAAAGCUCUUUUCGUGGGGAGGAAGGCGGUGAGGUUAAUAACCACAUCGAUUGACGUUACCCGCAGAAGAAGCACCGGCUAACUCCGUGCCAGCAGCCGCGGUAAUACGGAGGGUGCAAGCGUUAAUCGGAAUUACUGGGCGUAAAGCGCACGCAGGCGGUCUGUUAAGUCGGAUGGGAAAUCCCCGGGCUCAACCUGGGAACUGCAUUCGAAACUGGCAGGUUAGAGUCUUGUAGAGGGGGGUAGAAUUCCGGGUGUGGCGGUGAAAUGCUUGGAGAUGUGGGGGAAUACCGGUGGCGAAGGAGAACCCAUGGACAAAGACUGACGCUCAGGUGCGAAAGCGUGGGGAGCAAACAGG
rnacentral:rRNA from 1 species